UUUCUGCUGAGGACGACCGGUCCGCCCUCUGGGUGAGUAUCUGGCUCGGCCUUAACAUCUUCUUGAAGAACGCAACUGCACUUGACUGUGUGGUGCGGCAUUCAAGACUUUUACUUUGAGGAAAUUAGAAUGUUUGAAGCAGGCGCGUGCCUUGAAUACAUUAGCAUGGAAUAAUGAGAUAGGACCUUUGUUCUAUUUUGUUGGUUUCUAGAACUGAGGUAAUGAUUAAUAGGGAUGGUUGGGGGCAUUCGUAUUUAAUU
rnacentral:rRNA from 1 species